AUAAACCCUAAAAGCCAUCUGGUCAUUAGGGAAAAUCAAAACAGAAAAGAUCUAAGUUUCCUAUCCCCUUCAAUCGGCCGAAUUCGUCGGUUCCUUGCCCUCAACCGCCAGUUCGCCACCGUAGUUGGCGGAUAGCGUCAAAUGAAGGCCGAACCCGAUCCUAUUGGAGGCUCUAUCUCUCAAUCCCCUUUUUAGCUUCGAUCACAACGAAGCAAAUGAGGAAUCGGAGGCGUUCUUCCAAAAAGAUAAGUCCCUUUUUUUUGUUUAUAUUUCUAUACGAGAGAACUAUAUGGAGGGAUAAAAAGAAAAAAAGAAAUGAAUCGAAAACCUAAAGUAAAUCUGAAAUCACCUUUUUUCUUUUCUUCUAUUUUUUUUUUUGUAUUUCAAUCUCAAUAACUGUGUAAAAAAACAAUUCGUUUUCUGUUUGGGCUUUAUAGCCGAAAAUACAAUUGAUUUCCUCUAUGCUAUUGUCUGUGCUUUUCUUGUUUUUGCUUCGUUUCUGCUCUAUUUUGCCUUUUUUGCUCUGUUGUCCUCUUUUGUUUUCCUUUUUGCUCUAUUUUGCAAGUACUCGAAGGUCAACGGGCUGUAGAUGGCUAUUUUGGUGCAACGGGACAAUGGGGAGCCGAACCUCGGGCGUCGAAUGCGCUGCUGAAGCACGUAGGCAGCAGAAGGGAGGCACAGUGCUGAGGCUAGCUAGGGUUUCGGCUAGCUAAGACCCAGUUUGGACACUAGGCCUAUUGGGCCGAUUGGGUUAGGGGUUUAGGGUCUGUUUGUAAAAUGGGUCAGAUUUGGGCUUUAUGUAAAAUGGACUGUCUUUAUUAUUUUUUUAUAUUUUUUGGUUUUUGUUUAAACGGGCCGGGAAAAAUUGGGCCCAUACAAUUGCCAUUUGCGCAAAAAAAUAAAAAUUGUUGAGCUAUUCUUUGAAAAAAAUCGAAAAAAUAAGGACAAAAAAUUAAAGAUAGGAAAUCAUGACUGACCGGUCACAUCACGUCAGCUGCACCAGUGGUGUUAGUGAUGUGACAAGUCAAUAUUUUUUAGCCUAUUGCAAUUUUUUUAAAAAAAUCAAAAUUUUAGAGUUUCCCAUCCACAGUUCUAGUAUAAAAGUGGUGGGUUUAUAAUGGCCUAAAUUCAAAGUUAUCGGAAUAGUGGUUUCAUAACCACAAAUCCGAUUUAAAGAGAAA
rnacentral:lncRNA from 1 species